rnacentral:lncRNA from 1 species
UCCAAUUCUGUUGCCUUUGCUCCACCUUGUAGCCUUAAAUCUUCGUGAUUUCUCCUUUGCUGAGAAUUUGAAAGUAUCGUGCAUGCUGAUGAGCACGGGGUUGGGCACAUGCCCUCUCCUGGGAGGAGGGUGUGUUUUCAGAGAAUGCCUGGGAGAGGCCGUUCUCGACACCCAAAGGUGAACUGGUGAUGGAGGAGCAUCAGGCACCACGUGGGAGUCUUGUUUUGGAGAAGCAGAUCUCCUCUCUGUCUCCAGGUGGUUUACAGAAGUCGGGGUCCGUCCCCUGGACGUGAAGAGGUGUGUUCUCCUCUCUGUCUCCAGGUGGUUUACAGAAGUCGGGGUCCAUCCCCUGGACGUAAAGGGGUGUGUUCUCCUCUCUGUCUCCAGGUGGUUUACAGAAGUCCGGGUCUGUCCCCUGGACGUAAAGGGGUGUGUUCUCCGUAUAAAUGCGCAAAAACUUAGGAGGGGAAGAAUUCUCCAACAAAGGCCAGUGUAUUUGGGCAGCAGCUUCCUUGGGACUUUGGAUCCUUUCUUCCGAUGGCGUCUGAGGCUCUUCCGCGUCUCUCUCCUUUCUCUUCUUCCCUGUGAGUCCCGGCAGGAAGACUGCGUGCCGGGCAGCCGCUGGCCCCUUCCACUCUUGGCGCAGUGGAAGGCUCCUU